rnacentral:lncRNA from 1 species
UCUUCUAUUCUGUUCCAGUUUGUAGUAGAUGGUGCAUGGCAAGUAGUUGCUGGGGAAGAAAGCGAAGAAUUGGAAGUUUCAAAAUCAGCGGGAAAUGACUGCGCGUGAAGCUAUUUAUCCACAUACUUCUCCUAUCCCCCAAAGUUCAAUUCUUCUCUCUUUUUUACAAGUUUCUAUUUCGUUUUCUCUUGAUGUUUUUUGACCUAUACGUUAUCAUUUAUCCUUGUGUAUCAGUGAGUGCAGAAACACAUUUCUGAAUGACCAUAGCAUUCCUCUGAUUCAGAUCACUCCUUUUGAAGACGAGGGUGCAGGGCUGGCUUCAUCAUCAGUCAACUCCAUGGAAUCAAACCGGUUUCAAUUAUCCACAAGUCCAGCGAUUGGCACCGUGGCAUCUUCCUCGUCUCAGGGCAGUGCCACCACCAACCCUCAUGCUCAAAACAAUUUAAAUGACCGCAACUGGCUUGUAAAAUUUUAAGUGAUAAAAAAAAAAAAAAAAAAAUGAUCGAGCAACUCACCAUGAACCAUGGAGCAGCAUACAUUGCAUAGAAUCUGCCCUCCUCCAGUUUGCAGAAUAUUCCCUCAUCCGGCUUGCAGAAUAUACCAUCCUUGAGCAUGCAGAGUAUGUCAUCGUUCAGCCUGUAUAGUUUGCCAUCAAACGGUCCCCAAAAGUAUGCCACUUUUGAGGUCUUAGGCUAAAAAUUUAUAUGAUCUGCUUCCAAUCAUUGUCUGUAAAGGAGAUCCACCUUCUGCUACACCAACCCAACCUUUCUAUCAUCCUCGGAGUUUCAUGAGACCCAUUCCCAAUCUCCGGCCAUCUAUAGCCAAUGUUUUAUCAGACACACCCUCACCAUCCUUCGGAGCUCCUAUAACAAAGGAUGUAAACUAUUACAAGAGCCUGAUACAGCAGCAUGGAGGAGAAAGAUAAGAAACUUUACCCCAUUUUGGUAGUCAAAAAUUCAAGAACCUACAAAUACUGCGAAACUGAAAGAUGAGAAAUCAAACAUGAGGCCAUACAUCUUCUUCAAGAGUCCAAUGGGUAGCAAAAAUGGAGUGAAAGUGUGCAUUUCUGCAUGAUACAUAGUCGUCCAAGCAGAGGGUCAGUUACAUGAUUUGUAAUUACCAUAUUUAUUGCAGGCAUUGUUUUAUCCAACCUUUUCCUUCAUGUUCGUGUUGACUCCUAUCUUGAUAUUAUGCAGAG